rnacentral:rRNA from 1 species
AAUUCGAUUAGAGUUUGAUCCUGGCUCAGAUUGAACGCUGGCGGCAUGCCUUACACAUGCAAGUCGAACGGCAGCACGGGAGCUUGCUCCUGGUGGCGAGUGGCGAACGGGUGAGUAAUACAUCGGAACGUACCCAGGAGUGGGGGAUAACGUAGCGAAAGUUACGCUAAUACCGCAUAUUCUGUGAGCAGGAAAGCGGGGGAUCGCAAGACCUCGCGCUCUUGGAGCGGCCGAUGUCGGAUUAGCUAGUUGGUGAGGUAAAAGCUCACCAAGGCGACGAUCCGUAGCAGGUCUGAGAGGAUGAUCUGCCACACUGGGACUGAGACACGGCCCAGACUCCUACGGGAGGCAGCAGUGGGGAAUUUUGGACAAUGGGGGCAACCCUGAUCCAGCCAUGCCGCGUGAGUGAAGAAGGCCUUCGGGUUGUAAAGCUCUUUCGGCGGGGAAGAAAUGGCAACGGCUAAUAUCCGUUGUUGAUGACGGUACCCGCAUAAGAAGCACCGGCUAACUACGUGCCAGCAGCCGCGGUAAUACGUAGGGUGCGAGCGUUAAUCGGAAUUACUGGGCGUAAAGCGUGCGCAGGCGGUUUCGUAAGACAGACGUGAAAUCCCCGGGCUCAACCUGGGAACUGCGUUUGUGACUGCGAGGCUAGAGUACGGCAGAGGGGGGUAGAAUUCCACGUGUAGCAGUGAAAUGCGUAGAGAUGUGGAGGAAUACCGAUGGCGAAAGCAGCCCCCUGGGUUAGUACUGACGCUCAUGCACGAAAGCGUGGG